GCUUUGUCUUCAACAUAAUAUAUUUAUUAAAUAAAUGUAACUGUGUAAUCAUGGAAUCUAAGCACAGGAGGAUUUCCAAGCUUCACCUCACAUCAAAUGCAGGCAUCAUAUAGCCUCUAGGCCUUGGGUUAUGUCAGGGAUUUUUGCUUUUCACUUAGACUUGCAGUUGUCUUUCUUAGAAGAUAUGAAACAUGUUGGUCCCACCUCUAGCCAAGUAAAAACAGGUAUGUGAAUAAAAUGACUAUCAAAACAGGUUCUUUUCAAAGCGUUGGAAAUAUUGGAUUUCUCUUGGCUGUGAAUGUAGUGGGAGUCUUGAUGUCUUCGUCAUAUUGGGGAGCUUUUUAUUCAGCAUACUAAAAACAUGUAUCUAGCAAUUUCUAGAGGGUGCCAGGACUUUUCUUGGGGUUAGAGUAAUGAAGAUGAUUAUACAAUGGCCUCUAUCCAGUUGACGCAACUGAUUAGAUUAGCUAAAUGUUACAGGGCACGGUGGUAUAAAAAAAUUCCUGGAAGACGGAAGAUUUUAUUCACCACAUAAGCAGUCAUGGGGUAGGUGUUCCACAACUAGUUGGAUGUGUCAAGGCACAGCAUCCUACAAAAACAUAGUCUGUUUUGAAAAAUUCAGUCUGCCUGAAGGUGGGUGGCUGGAGAAAAACUUGAGAAGUUAGGAGGGACCACAUCACCCAAUACCUGGUUAACCAACUAGGAGAGAUUUAAUGACUACCUGUAUAGCCAGCAGGAACAUUUAAUGUGGGGUACAAGAUCACCUUUGUUCUUUAGGAAGUUUGUAGUCAUUCAUAAAUCCAAAGGAAAAAGCAAAAAUUCAGGCCAUGUUAUGCCUCACAUGUAAAAUAGCCUGCUAUCCAGCCCUGGGCAUUGCAUUAUUCCAGUAAGGGCUAAUGUUGUAUAUUCUUCUCAACUAUUUCAAUAAAAAAUGUGGAGGAUACAUUCCAGUUGAAAGAUCACUUAUUUGAAUUUUACCUUUUAGUGCCAAGAUUGCAGGGAAAAAUAUCAUUUGUGAGCCUCUCGGAAGGUUGGCUGAUCUGCAGAUAGGAUAAAAUAUCCUGCAUGUACUCUCCAUUUGAUUUGUAAUUUACAUAGCAUCUCUUUGUUCAUCAAGGAACACCCUGCAUGACUUCCUGACACUGACCUGGAUUUUACUUAUGGCUGCCCUAAAUUGUGUUAUCAUGGUGUACCGGUUGUUCAGUAUUCAGCCUUGCUCCUCUGUAACUUAAUAUUAUGAUUUAUUUCUGACUUGGCUUUUCUUUAUCGAAUGCUGACUUUUUCUAAGAGGUUCAUGUGGAAAUGUGCUACAUGAAAAAAAAAAAAGGAGCACAGUUUGGCCUCAGGGCAAAAACAUGAAUACUGACCCAGGGACAUGAAUACAGGGCAGAAGAGAGAGUGGCACAGGCAACAAAAUUAACUCAUUUCUUUGCCUUUUGUGUGUUCCUAAGUGUGUGGAGUGACUCAAAUUUUAGCACAGAAAGUAAAGUUAGAAAGCAACUGCUAUUUGCCAACAACCCAUUCUUUAAUUCUCAAAGAUCAAAAAUUUGCUUGAAAACUGACAUUUUCAUUUUCUCCUGGCCCAGUGAACAAAGUUUUAAGGUUAUGUGGUCGCUCUGAUACCACCUAAGAAGCAAAUAUUUCUUGCAGUCUACUUCUAGAUGUGAAUGAACUGAAAGUAAAUGACUCAGAGAUGGAGUAAAUGUCCCUUGAAAUACACCCAAACUUAAUAAUUAGGAGAAGAGUGCUUGAAUAAACACAUUUAGAGUGUUAUUGAGCAUAUACAAGCUUAGAUGGUCCAUAUUUCUAAAAGACAGUGAGUCUAUAGCACAUUCUUCGGAGAUGAGAAAAUUAUGCCAUAAAUAAAAUUUGUAGUGGAGGCAUUUGUUUUAUCAUUCAGUUAAGUAGCAGGAAUUCUUUCAUACCUAGAGGGACUUAGGUAAAACUAAUAAACAGACAUACUUAACAACAAGAACAACAACAACAAAAAUAAAGCAUUACCAUUCAAGAGUGUGAAAUCACUUCUCUGAGAGCCUUUUUGGAUUGAAUAUUCUUUUUGGGCUGGUAAUGUCAAACUAAAACUUUACCUAAACACAGAUAACUAGGUGGCUCUUAGCAUACCUUUCAGGGCUUAUGGUCUCCAAUUAUUCCACUCACAUCCCCCUAUACAUUUCCAAAUCACCUCUUUCAGUGUCUCCAGUGUUUAAACAUGAACUGGAUAGAGUGUUGCAUGGUAGUAUUAAAUAAAAUUUAGCUUAAAGCUGUUUCCUUACAUAUUAUAAGUUCUGUCUAAAGGUUUCUACGUGCAUAGUAUACAUGUCAUUGAAAGUGUAAAUGGACUAUAACCUACUCUGAUACCAAUCACUGAGUUGUGGCCAAUCAAAGGUGGCCAACUGCUCAAACCACAUUCAAAUAUGGCAAAUGCUGAGCUGUAACCAAUCCCGUUGUUUCUGUACCUCAUUUCUGUUUUCUCUCUGUCACUUUUCUUUUUCUUUCCAUAAAUCUUCUUCAACCACCUGGCAGUGCCAGAGUUUCUCUGAACCCAUUCUGGCUUGGGGGAUGCCUGAUUCAUGAAUCAUUCUUUGCUCAAUUAAACUCUGUUUAAUUUAAUUUGUCUAAGGUUUUUCUUUUAACAGUAGAGAUAGGAGUACAACACACUUUGAGGUGUACAGGAGUGAGUUCAAAUCCUAGCUCUGUUAUUGGCUUGAUUUCUCAUCUUGAGCAAGGUACUUAGUUUCUCUGAGCCUUAGUUUCUGCACUUGUAAAUGUGGAGAAGUGAAACACCAGACUUGAGAGGAUGCUCUGCUAUCUGAACGAGGUAAUGGGAAAAUGCUCGGCCAGUGUUGUAACUCAAUCUUCUUAUCCAACAGUGAGCCCCUUGGGCACCCAGACCCAGACUCGCCCUUCUAGUCUCACGUCUUGCACUCUCUGGCACAUCUCAUGUAGGCUCUGUUGCCUGUCAUGUUUUCCAGUCCACAAAUACCCUUGGCAUGCUCUCAUGUCUGUACUUGGUCCACAUUAUUCUAACGUGAAUACAUGAAACUUCUAAUGACAGUGCAAUCUUUCUAGACAAUCUCUGAAGGAGAAAUGUUACUAGUCUGUGGUGAAUAUAAAAAUAGGCUCAUAGGGAAAAAAAACUGUGAUUGAAGGUAUAAUUCUGCAUUUUCUUGGGAUAUACAUAAAUAGCAAGUAGUCAUUUUUUACUUAAAAAAAAAAAAAGAAAUCUACAGAAAGAAAAUUUAGCUGUCUUUCUGUUGCUAACCUUCCAGGAGGCCUUGGUUCUCCUUUAAGGUUGAAGUUCGUUUGUGACAGGUUAGUGCUGCUCAUUUUUGUGGCUUUCCAGAAGCCACCGUGGAAAAGGCAGAAGUCUUCCCCUCCCAUUAUGCUGAGUCAGACAUGGCAUCUACAUGACUCAUCACCAAGUGGUUCUCCAGAAUUCACUUUGCUUGCUUUUCCCCAAUCCAGAUAAUCCUCGGGACUGGUAGCCACCCAACUCACUCCUGCACACUGUUCUUCCUCUUUGGAGGCACCCACCAUGCCUGUCUGAUGCUGCCCCUCAAGGUCACAUCGGAGUCUCCUGUACCUACCUUGUCUGUGGCUACCCAACUCUAUACAAUUUCUGAAGCUUUCAUAACACCCAGAUGGUCUAUAAUGUAAUAUGUGUUUAGAUAAUCCUCAGGCCAAAACAUCUUUCCAAAAUUUAACUGUAAAUCUGUCACUUCCAUGGGUUAUGUUAGUCUUUUCCAUGUUCAAAUGGCUAUCUGAGCUCCUGGGGAGGGGAAGUCACUCCCGGAGUUCUCUUUCCAUCAUUCAUAGUGUGAAUCUCACCUUGGGCUGGGAGGAAUUUGUGAUGGGCAUACAAGUGAGAAAAAGGGUGCAAAGGGGUGAGAUGGUAUGUUAGUCAGGGUUCUCUAGAGGGACAGAAUUAAUAGGAUAGAUGUAUAUACAAAGGGGAAUGUAUUAAGGAGUAUUAACUCACGAGAUCACAAGGUAAGGUUGCAUAAUAGGCCAUCUGCAACCUGAGGAGCAAGGAAGCCAGUCCAAGUCCCAAAGCUGAAGGACCUUGAGUCCAAUGUUUGAGGGCAGGAAGCAUCCAGCAUAUGGGAGAAAGAUGUAGGCUUGGAGGCUAAGCCAGUCUAAUCUUUUUUUUUUUUUUUGAGAUGGAGUUGCCCUCUGUCACCCAGGCUGGAGUGCAGUGGCGUGAUCUCAGCUCACUGCAACCUCCGCCUCCGCCUCGCAGUACCUGAGAUUACAGGUGCAUGCCAACACGGCUAAUUCUUGUAUUUUUAGUAGAUACAGGGUUUCACCAUGUUGGCCAGUUGGUCUGGAACGAACUCCUGACCUCAAGUGAUCCGCCCACCUCAGCCUCCGAAAGUUCUGCGAUUACAGGUGUGAGCCACUGUGCCUGGCCAAGCCUAAUCUUUCCACGUUCUUCUGCUUGCUUUUAUUCUAGUUACACUGUCAGCUGGUUAGAUGGUGCCCUCCCAGAUUGAAGGUAGAUCUGCGUUUCCCAGUCCACUGACUCAAAUGUUAAUCUCCUUUGGCAACGCCUUCACAGACACACCCAGAAUCAAUACAUUGCACCCUUCAAUCCAAUCAAGUUGACAUCCAGUAGUAACCAUCACAGAUGGCUAAUACGGGAGAUAUUCAUGAAGGGUCUGGGAAGGGGAUUUGGAAGAGAUAUGGACACAAAGGAAGGAGGAAAGAAAAGGGGAAGUGAGACGGGAACCAAACCAAACACCCUGUAUUGCACAAUUGAGCCUGGAGUUGGCCUGCUCGCCACAGAGCAGUCACAGGUUUUCAGGAUGCUUUAGUGAUAGCAGCCAUCAGUACCUCUCAUUAGGAGCAAAAGCCCUGAUUGGUAAUAGUAUAUUCUACUUAUUUAGAGAAUAAAAGUUCCCUGUUAGAACCAGCCUUCUCAGAAUGGCAUUCAGCUUUUCAGAAAAGCACAGCACCAGCAUAUUUCUUAUCUGCCUUGAAGGUUAUAAUAAAUCCCUUCUUCUGUUAAUUCAUAAAUCCUUCAGCCACAUGCCAUUUUGGGGCCAUAUGCUUUCUUUCCUCCCUCUAACCCUUGGAAAGAUCUUUCAUAUCCAAUCUCUGUAGAUAAUCUGAAUGUGAAAUCAGGUAUGGUUAUCUAAUCCCUCUAAUCAGAAGGUCAGCAGUUACCUGCAGCUUUUCCAUCUGUCCUCCAGCUGAAUGCUGCCAUUUAGUAAAUCAAAAAUUGGUUACAAAUUAGCAAAGCUGACUGGCUCAAUGAAAUCUAGCCUGGAGUCUUUGCUGGAAGGGGGGAAGUUUAAAUAUGGUUUGAAGGGAGAUUUGAGGUGAACUCUAUUUAUCAAAGCCGUGGAGUAGCAGCAUAAAAGAUGAGAGAUGUUCUCCUGGGUAAAAAUGUCAAAUCACAUGGGAAAUGGGAAUAUUUCACAUGGUGAUUACUGAAUUUUACAAUUGUUCGCAAAUUGAUUCAGCCCAGAAAUCAACUGGGAAGUCUCCCACAGGUGUCUAGCACUCUGCAGGUAUUAGCGUGAUACAGGGUAAGUCUCAAAGUACAAAAAAAAACACACAUGUGAAACAAUUUGCAAACAAUGAAGUGCUAACCUGUGUGGUGUGAAUUACAGAUGCAUUAGGACACCAGAAAAGGAAGAAAAGACAGUGGCAGCUGAAGACAUUUCAGGAAUGCUUCACUGAGAACCUAAGUCUUGUUCUGGGCCAUAAAGAAAAGGGGAGGGUGUGGUUUCUAUACCAGAGAUAAGAAAGGAGAAAAUUGGACGUGGAGGAAAGAUAUGAGUACCAAUCCGAGCGAACAAGGAAGAGUGAGUAAAUCUGUCCAGCUGGAGUUGGAGGUACAUUCUGGAAAAUGGUGAGAGAGGCUGUGUAGGGUAGGGGGACACGGAAAGAUGGGCCAAGACAUUUGGAGCUGAUAUUUGAUAUGGUUUGGCUGUGCCCCCACCCAAAUCUCAUCUUAAAUUGUAAUCCCCAUAAUCCCCACGUGUCGAGGGAGGGACCCGGUGGGAAGUGAUUGGAUCAUGGGGGCAGUUUUCCCCAUGGAAUUCUCGUGAUAGUGAGUGAGUUCUCACGAGAUCUCAUGGUUUUACAAGCGUCUGGUAUUUCACCUGAUUGCACUUCUCUCUUCUGCCUCCUAGUGAAAAAGGUGCCUGCUUCUCCUUCUGCCAUGAUUAUAAGUUUCCUGAGGCUUCCCCAGCCAUGCGUAACUGAGUGAGGACCUAGAAUUUUAAUGUCUAAUAUGCGGUGUGAAUUAAAGAAGCGGCCUUGCUAUGCUGACCUUUUCAAUAUUCUAAUCUUUGCUUUGCUGACCUCUCAGGCCUCUUCCUGGCAACAGUUAGGCUUUUGAGAGGAGAGAGAGCUGAGACUGUUGGCUCCUUCCCAUUUAUGAGAGAGCCACAUGACAUCAGCCCAUAGACUGUGGAGAGUAUUCCAGAUCUAUCACAUUCUGCGAUUCUGCGAUUCCCAGAAGGCUGGUCAUGAAAAAAUUCCCUCUUCAGUUUACAUAUAUGGCAGUGCUCCAGUGCCAUGACAGUUUUAAUCUUCUGGUUCCAUCUGCAUAGAUUUCAGUCUCUAAUUGAGGAAAAUCAUCUGUUUUUCUCAGGAGCCCCUUGAUUCAAGUUUACACAAAAUGUGCCUUUGGAGACUAUCCUGUUAAUUUAAACAGUUCAGAUCCCACUUGUAUGUGAGACAGAUGCUUCUCUGGCCAUCAGCCAGGUACCACUAAAGGAGGUACAGGCACUUCUAGAUAUCUGUUGAGGCCUGGAAGGGGCAAAACAAUUCAGGAAGCAGUUGAAGAUAAAGGGGUUUACCAUGGAAGAGAAGAUCCAGGUGCCUUCAUGGAAAUGCUUGUGGUUGAAAAGAGAUGAAGAUGAGGGUCCCUGGAAAGAGGAAGAACCAGCCAGGAAAAUUAUACCAUUAGCAAGACUGGCAUCAGCAAGUAGUUCGCAGUGUUGGUUGUUCUUGGUUUCGCAGGAUUUUAUAGGAGAGUUUCUGUCAGGCCUUUGAGCCCAAGCUAAGCCAUCAUACCCCUGUGACCUACACGUUAUACAUCCAGAUGGCCUGAAGCAAUUGAAGAUCCACAAAAUAAGUGAAAAUAGCCUUAACGGAUGACAUUCCACCAUUGUGAUUUGUUUCCACCCCACCCUAACUGAUACAUAUAUUCUCCCCCACCCUUAAGAAGGUACUUCGGAAUGUUCUCUCCCGCUCUUAAGAAUGUGCUUUGUAUGCCUAUCCCAAACCUGUAAGAACUAAUGAUAAUCCCACCACCCUUUGCUGACUCUUUUUUUUGGACUCAGCCCAUCUGCACUCAGGUGAAAUAAACAGCCUUGUUACUCACACAAAGCCUGUUUGGUGGUCUCUUCACAUGGAUGUGCGUGACAUUUGGUGCCGUGACUAGGAUUGGGGGCCCUCCCUUGGGAGAUCAAUCCCCUGUCCUCCUGCUCUUUGCUCCAUGAGAAAGAUCCACCUACGACUUUGGGUCCUUAGACCAACCAGCCCAAGGAACAUCUCACCAAUUUUAAAUCGGGUAAGCAGCCUCUUUU
rnacentral:lncRNA from 10 species